rnacentral:rRNA from 1 species
GAUGAACGCUGGCGGCGUGCCUAAUACAUGCAAGUCGAGCGAACGGACGAGAAGCUUGCUUCUCUGAUGUUAGCGGCGGACGGGUGAGUAACACGUGGAUAACCUACCUAUAAGACUGGGAUAACUUCGGGAAACCGGAGCUAAUACCGGAUAAUAUUUUGAACCGCAUGGUUCAAAAGUGAAAGACGGUCUUGCUGUCACUUAUAGAUGGAUCCGCGCUGCAUUAGCUAGUUGUUAAGGUAACGGGUUACCAAGGCAACGAUGCAUAGCCGACCUGAGAGGGUGAUCGGCCACACUGGAACUGAGACACGGUCCAGACGCCUACGGGAGGCAGCAGUAGGGAAUCUUCCGCAAUAGGCGAAAGCCUGACGGAGCAACGCCGCGUGAGAGAUGAAGGUCUUCGGAUCGUAAAACUCUGUUAUUAGGGAAGAACAUAUGUGUAAGUAACUGUGCACAUCUUGACGGUACCUAAUCAGAAAGCAACGGCUAACUACGUG